rnacentral:misc_RNA from 1 species
AAGUCGUAACAAGGUUUCCGUAGGUGAACCUGCGGAAGGAUCAUUAACACGUAUCCACGUUUGAUAUCUACCACCCCCUCUCUGUGAACCGGGAACGAACUGGUUGUUGCACAGGCCUAGGCCGAUUUCGAUCUGUGUCUGUGCAUUGUUCCGACCCACUUUUUUUAUUCACCCCAUUGUUGACUCUCCCGAUUGAACCCCGAGUGGCCUGAUCGACCGUGUCCUGACUAGUCCUCGGACUAGUGGACCCGAACCAUAUGGAUUUUCCAAUGAGUUUACACAGCACAACUCUUAGCAAUGGAUAUCUUGGUUCUC